rnacentral:rRNA from 1 species
UACGGAGGGUGCGAGCGUUGUCCGGAAUCAUUGGGCGUAAAGGGCGCGUAGGUGGCCCGGUCAGUUCGUGGUGAAAGCGCGGGGCUCAACCCUGCGUCGGCCAUGAAUACUGCCGCGGCUGGAGCACUGUAGAGGCAGGCGGAAUUCCGGGUGUAGCGGUGGAAUGCGUAGAGAUCAGGAGGAACACCGGUGGCGAAGGCGGGUCUCUGGGCAGUAACUGACGCUGAGGAGCGAAAGCGUGGGGAGCGAACAGG